UGGGGAAUAUUGCACAAUGGGCGCAAGCCUGAUGCAGCCAUGCCGCGUGUGUGAAGAAGGCCUUCGGGUUGUAAAGCACUUUCAGCGAGGAGGAAGGUGGUGAACUUAAUACGUUCAUCAAUUGACGUUACUCGCAGAAGAAGCACCGGCUAACUCCGUGCCAGCAGCCGCGGUAAUACGGAGGGUGCAAGCGUUAAUCGGAAUUACUGGGCGUAAAGCGCACGCAGGCGGUUUGUUAAGUCAGAUGUGAAAUCCCCGGGCUCAACCUGGGAACUGCAUUUGAAACUGGCAAGCUAGAGUCUCGUAGAGGGGGGUAGAAUUCCAGGUGUAGCGGUGAAAUGCGUAGAGAUCUGGAGGAAUACCGGUGGCGAAGGCGGCCCCCUGGACGAAGACUGACGCUCAGGUGCGAAAGCGUAGGGAGCAAACAGGAUUAGAUACCCUGGUAGUCCACGCUGUAAACGAUGUCGAUUUUGGAGGUUGUGCCCUUGAGGCGUGGCUUCCGGAGCUAACGCGUUAAAUCGACCGCCU
rnacentral:rRNA from 1 species